GGCUCAGACGAAACGCUGGCGGCGUGCCUAACACAUGCAAGUCGUGCGGGAAAGUGGGGGCAACCCUGCGAGUACAGCGGCGCACGGGUGAGUAACACGUAGGUAACCUACCUCUGAGACUGGGAUAACCUGUCGAAAGACGGGCUAAUACCAGAUAAGACCACCGAAGUUGCGGCUUUGGCGGUAAAAGAUGGCCUCUGCUUGCAAGCUAUCACUUGGGGAUGGGCCUGCGCGCCAUUAGCUAGUUGGCGGGGUAAAAGCCCACCAAGGCGGAGAUGGCUAGCUGGUCUGAGAGGAUGGCCAGCCACACUGGGACUGAGACACGGCCCAGACUCCUACGGGAGGCAGCAGUGGGGAAUAUUGCGCAAUGGGCGAAAGCCUGACGCAGCGACGCCGCGUGGGUGAUGAAGGCCUUCGGGUCGUAAAGCCCUGUCGGGGGGGACGAAACCUUUCGGUGCUAAUAUCGCCGAGACUUGACGGUACCCCCUAAGGAAGCACCGGCUAACUCCGUGCCAGCAGCCGCGGUAAUACGGAGGGUGCAAGCGUUGUUCGGAAUCACUGGGCGUAAAGCGCGUGUAGGCGGCCUUUUAAGUCUGAUGUGAAAGCCCGGGGCUUACCCCCGGAAGUGCAUUGGAAACUGGGAGGCUAGAGUACCGGAGAGGAAGGUGGAAUUCCUGGUGUAGCGGUGAAAUGCGUAGAUAUCAGGAGGAACACCGGUGGCGAAGGCGGCCUUCUGGACGGAUACUGACGCUGAGACGCGAAAGCGUGGGGAGCAAACAGGAUUAGAUACCCUGGUAGUCCACGCUGUAAACGAUGGGCACUAGGUGUUCGGGGUAUUGACCCCCUGAGUGCCGCAGCUAACGCAUUAAGUGCCCCGCCUGGGGACUACGGCCGCAAGGUUAAAACUCAAAG
rnacentral:rRNA from 1 species